rnacentral:pre_miRNA from 1 species
GUUGAGGGGAAUGUUGUUUGGCACGAAAUCGUUCAUAUAUCAUUUCUUAUUUAUAUGAAUGGUUUCGGACCAGGCUUCAUUCCCCUCAAC